rnacentral:lncRNA from 1 species
UAAUAAUCCAAUCACCGACUGUGUAUCUCUAGUAUAAGUGAUAGAGGACUUGGUGGUUGGUACCUAAAAUCCCAAGCUCGAAUUUUAGUUGAUUUAUAUUUCCAGCUAAAUUUAUUUCUAAAAAAAAAACAUCCAAUCACCGUAUUUAAACACGGUGACUGAAUUAUCACAUUCAACAUAAAAAAUAAUAAUCUAGCCCGUAUUUAAACGUAAUUAUUGGAUCACCAUAUUCAACUUAAAAAAUGCCUGCACCACUCUUCUCUCGGUAGUAGAAAUUAAGAGAGGUAAUUUUAUAAAUAUAAAUUUAUUGGGACACUUUGUUAAAUAAUUAAAAUUGCUUGUUUCUUCACAGGUUUAGGUUUAGGGCUUUCUUCACAGGUUUAGGUUUAGGGCAUGUUUGUUUCACUGAAACUGGGCUUUGGGUUGAAAUAGACUUUGAGUUGAAAUGGAGUUCGGUAAAAACUAUUUCUUCUCCGCUAUUUGUUUUGUAGUUAAUUAUAAAUGUGAAGUUUUAUUAGUUCUGCUGUUUAUUUAGUAGAAAGUGUAUAAUAUAAAACUAUAAUUUAUAUAUAAAUAAUAAAUAAUUUAAUGUAAUAAUUAAAAAUAAUAUAAUUACAUUUUUAUAUAAUUAAAAUUUAAUUUAAAGCAACAAAAUUAUUUUUUUAUACA